ACUUGCGUGCACGCAGCGUCAACGCAAUUGCGGUAGGAAGUACCCAACAUCAAAUAGAAUCAUGCACACGCACUUGCGUUAACGCGGCGUCGACACGCGUCUCAUUUGCGGCGAGAGUUACCGCAAAGUCACCGCAACUCCCCACAGGAACGCUGCGUGCACGCGAGUAUUUUUUGACAUUUCUCUAUUCUUUUUCUUUCCAACAAGAUUUCUAAUGGGAAAAUCUGUGAUGUGAAAGAAUGUGUCAGAGCGAAAUCAAAACAAACAAAAAUACUUCGCAAAUCAGUUCAUUUUGGUUUCGCAAAUUAAUUUGCAAAUUGCAACACUUUUCAAAUCUAGUAAUUCAAUUGUAAUAGUUCGGAGCAAUAAGUGUUUCUUUCGUUCCUGUGUUAGUACCAGUCGCGGUCAAAACAUCUUUGGAAAGAACUGACAAGCAACCAUCCCAGGCUGGUGGAUAGAGUCAAAGUCAACGGAAAAUAAAUUGAUUUCCGAACAGACGGUGAUGUGGCAGUUUUGGGAUGAAUAACGGACCAGGCAAAAUUCAACCAUUCAACCAACAAAGUUCCAACCAACAUUCCGCGGGACCCUGUAUACACCAAGGAAGGCGAUACCAGUUCCGCCAUGGGAAGAAUUAUUAAAUAUAGGAAUGUCAACGGAAGGAAAUCGUCAAAUAAUGUGGAUUGCAAGUGCAAGAAGAAACGAGAUCAGAUAAAGGGAUGGCGAGUUACAGUACUAAUGCGUUUCUUCUAGUGUUGUGGGCAACGCUACUGCGAUCGGUCCGUGUUGCAGUGAAGUGAAAAUUGCAAUGAUAAUAACGACGUUUGGCAUUUAGAUAGCACUUCUUUGGAAGAACAACGACAAACGUAGCAACACGCCAGCAAUCGCUUGUGAUGCUUUCGGAGGAAGAUUUUGAGCACCUUAUUUGUAGGAGUGACUGCAGUAUCUGACCAAAAUGUUUAAUGACUGAGUGUUGAACUUAAUUUUAAAAUUAAAAAAACACUUUAAUAAAGAAUUAAAAAAAAAAAAAAAGUUUAAUGACUUUUUAUUCGUGAGCAAAUGAUUACCGAUAAAUGGAACUAAUAAAAAUCGUACCCCAAAUGAAACAGAUGCUCAAUUCAAGACAAGAACAAUUGAAUGCCUGAAUCCACUAUUAUUCAAAAUUAAUCUAUGAAGUAAUAAAUUUAAGUUGGAAAUAAAGAAUGAGCAACAUUAUGAAAUUGU